ACUCCAUGCCGGUGGAGUCUUGGAGUGCUUUGCUUCCGAUGAUUUUUUUUACUUCGCCGUAGGAUUCAUCUUCGAUGUUCUUGGGAGUUGUUUCCUGUUGUUGCUGGUUUUGAAUUGCGGCGGUGACGGUGGGGAAGUAGGUAGGUUUGUGGCGGAAAGGGAGAGAUUGGUGGUGGGAGAGAAAUGGGUUUUUGGGAGGUAGAGAGUGUUUGGGUUUCAAGUGAGAAAUUGGUUUGGUAACGAAGAUAGCUUCCAUAAUUGUGUGUUGUUCAACAUGUGGCGUGAAAGAGAGAAAAGGGAGAUGAGGUAUUGACUAGAUAAGAAAUCAUAUCAUAUCCACUUCGUGUUUCAAUUGGAUAGGACGAAAAGGAUAAACUGGAUUUAUUUUUGUUAUUA
rnacentral:lncRNA from 1 species